rnacentral:tRNA from 1 species
GGGGCCAUAGUUAAACAAGGUAAAACAUAUCGUUCGCAACGAUAAAAUGCGGGUUCAAGUCCCGCUGGCUCCA